AAAUAUUGCUAUUUAUAUUAAUAAAUGUUUUGAACUGAGAAAAUUAUCAAUAUAGUAUAGAUAUUGUUUUAUUAAAGAUGUUGAGAAUAUUUGCUUGUUAAUAAUAAAUAUAUUGGUAUACCUUUUUAUGUAUAUGGCUCUGAUCUGGUUGUAGAUUUACAUCUAAGAAAUAGUUAAAUUCAUGUUUAUGAUUUGUGUCAUUAUUGUUUCAUUAUUGUAACAAUUAUAAAAAUCAUUGUAAUAAAUUGCUUUGCUCUUCAUGGGCCCUUUAAUUGGAAUAAAAAUAUCUUAUCUUAUCUU
rnacentral:lncRNA from 1 species